rnacentral:rRNA from 1 species
GAUGAACGCUGGCGGCGUGCCUAAUACAUGCAAGUCGAGCGAACAGACGAGGAGCUUGCUCCUCUGACGUUAGCGGCGGACGGGUGAGUAACACGUGGAUAACCUACCUAUAAGACUGGGAUAACUUCGGGAAACCGGAGCUAAUACCGGAUAAUAUAUUGAACCGCAUGGUUCAAUAGUGAAAGACGGUUUUGCUGUCACUUAUAGAUGGAUCCGCGCCGCAUUAGCUAGUUGGUAAGGUAACGGCUUACCAAGGCAACGAUGCGUAGCCGACCUGGGAGGGUGAUCGGCCACACUGGAACUGAGACACGUUCCAGACUCCUACGGGAGGCAGCAGUAGGGAAUCUUCCGCAAUGGGCGAAAGCCUGACGGAGCAACGCCGCGUGAGUGAUGAAGGUCUUCGGAUCGUAAAACUCUGUUAUUAGGGAAGAACAAAUGUGUAAGUAACUAUGCACGUCUUGACGGUACCUAAUCAGAAGGCCACGGCUAACUACGU